rnacentral:rRNA from 1 species
AUUGAACGCUGGCGGCAGGCCUAACACAUGCAAGUCGAGCGGAUGAAGGGAGCUUGCUCCUGGAUUCAGCGGCGGACGGGUGAGUAAUGCCUAGGAAUCUGCCUGGUAGUGGGGGAUAACGUCCGGAAACGGGCGCUAAUACCGCAUACGUCCUGAGGGAGAAAGUGGGGGAUCUUCGGACCUCACGCUAUCAGAUGAGCCUAGGUCGGAUUAGCUAGUUGGUGGGGUAAAGGCCUACCAAGGCGACGAUCCGUAACUGGUCUGAGAGGAUGAUCAGUCACACUGGAACUGAGACACGGUCCAGAGUCCUACGGGAGGCAGCAGUGGGGAAUAUUGGACAAUGGGCGAAAGCCUGAUCCAGCCAUGCCGCGUGUGUGAAGAAGGUCUUCGGAUUGUAAAGCACGUUAAGUUGGGAGGAAGGGCAGUAAGUUAAUACCUUGCUGUUUUGACGUUACCAACAGAAUAAGCACCGGCUAACUUCGUG